CGUCGAUGAUUAUAUAUCAUAUUUGCUACUCUCGAUUGAACUUGGCAGUUCAUGUUGACAUUAUUUAUCACCAAGAUCUAUGAGGCU
rnacentral:snoRNA from 1 species